rnacentral:rRNA from 1 species
UACGUAGGGGGCUAGCGUUGUCCGGAAUUAUUGGGCGUAAAGGGCGCGUAGGCGGUGCGGUAAGUCACCUGUGAAAUCUCCUGGCUCAACUGGGAGCUUGCAGGCGAAACUGCCGUGCUGGAGUGUGGGAGAGGUGCGUGGAAUUCCUGGUGUAGCGGUGAAAUGCGUAGAUAUCAGGAGGAACACCUGUGGCGAAAGCGGCGCACUGGACCACAACUGACGCUGAGGCGCGAAAGCUAGGGGAGCAAACAGG